AUUACACAAGGUGAAGCUACAAAUGUCAUGAUGCAGUUAUUUUGUGCUGUAGGACAAAUAUAAAAAGCAGUAAGGGAAAAUGUCAAGGAAAACAGAGACACGUGACAACUACAGUGACAAAACAGCCUCUAUAUGAAAGCUGGACUUUUGCAAGCAAAUGGUAGGAGAUUUGAGAAUGGCAUCCUUCUGAAAAGUCAGCCAUGAGUGGAACAACAACAUCUAUUUAAACAGCUAACAUUGGAAUGACUGUUAAAUGAUCUGAUUUGUGUAACCUGAGAGCUAGCAUGAGACUCUAGCUGCAAUAAUGAUGAACAGCUAGGGCUCUUUACUAAUGUCAAUCUCCGUUUAUCAAGGAGCUUUGUAAAAUUACUAAAAUAACAAUUUGAAUACAGUGGUCACCCUUAAAAACUU